rnacentral:rRNA from 1 species
AGCGAACGCUGGCGGCAGGCUUAACACAUGCAAGUCGAGCGGGCAUCUUCGGGUGUCAGCGGCGGACGGGUGAGUAACGCGUGGGAACGUGCCUUCUGGUUCGGAAUAACUCAGGGAAACUUGAGCUACUACCGGAUACGCCCUUUUGGGGAAAGGUUUACUGCCGGAAGAUCGGCCCGCGUCUGAUUGGCUAGUUGGUGGGGUAACGGCCUACCAAGGCGACGAUCAGUAGCUGGUCUGAGAGGAUGAUCAGCCACACUGGGACUGAGACACGGCCCAGACUCCUACGGAAGGCAGCAGUGGGGAAUAUUGGACAAUGGGGGCAACCCUGAGCCAGCCAUGCCGCGUGAGUGAUGAAGGCCUUAGGGUUGUAAAGCUCUUUUAUCCGGGAAGAUAAUGACGGUACCGGAGGAAGAAGCCCCGGCUAACUUCGUGCCAGCCGCCGCAGUAA